ACAUGACCUCACUGUUGUGGGCCACAUUACUGCGCAAGUGCAUCACUGCACGGGUAGUCUAACAGAACAGUGAAUGUUUGUUGGCUAGUGAAGAAUUUGAAAUCCUGUAAAAUAAGUAAUCAAAAUAAGAAAUAAUUUAAGACAUUUCGCCCAUGUUUUAUUUCUGUAAAUUGAGCAGAGACUGAUAAAUCAAUCGCGGAGCUGUGGGGAUAAAGGUGGGAAGAUGUCAUAUCACUCGUCUUCUCACAGCUCUUCGCCUAACACCGAUUGCAAGGUCUAUGUUGGGGAUUUCGUCAACGGUGCUGCUAAGGCUGAGCUAGAGCGGGCGUUCAGUUACUAUGGCCCUUUACGCAGCGUUUGGGUGGCCAGGCCCGCAUGUUUCGCCUUUGUGGAGUAUGAGGAUGCCCGUGACGCAGAGGACGCAGUUAAAGGCAUGGAUGGGAAGGUGCUGUGCGGCUCUCGGAUCCAUGUGGAGCUGUCCACUGGCAUGUCACGUAAAACCAAACAUGACCCCCCCAGCCGUCACCACUUUGACUCUCAAGACUGCUGCUACCAUUGUGGGGACAGGGGCCACUAUGCUUACGACUGCUACCGUUUCAGCAGGAGGGGUGGAGGUCGUCGGAGCAGAUCACGGUCUCGUUCCGAAUCCAGGUCACGUGGCAGCCGUUAUCGAUCCCGUUCCCGCAGCAAUGACCGCAGCAGGCACCGCUCCCCAUCUUAUCCCAAACAUCGGAAGAGGUCCGGCUCCCCUGUGUGGUCCAAGUCCAGGACAUCUGUUAGGAGUCGUUCUCGGUCCGGGUCCCGGGCCAGAGGGCGCUCUGCGUCCCGCUCUCUCUCCAGAUCCCGCUCUCCCAGCCAUAAGAGGAAUAGGGCUAGGUGUGAUCAGGUAAGUCGUGGGUAGCUGCCCCCUCAGACCAGCCUCCACCCGAAGUCUGCGGAGUCGACCUUCCAGAACGCACAGAGUGACAACUCAUCAGAGAGAUGGCUGCUGCUGGAGAUGGGGAGGGGAAAGAAAUAGUCAGGGACUCUAACACACCCCAAGCUAGAGUGAGGAAACCCCCCUCCCCCUUUAUCUUUUCCAAAUACCUGAUUUUAAUGUUCUUUUCUCUUGGAGGUCCCUCUCCUAGAAUGACCAGGCCAGACCUUGAUUAGCUUCAGAGAGUUGCACACUAUAUUCUGAGAAACAGAGGCUGUUUGGGUGACAGCUGGGGAAGCGGGGCUCUUCUCUUUUCUCUUCUCCCUCAGAUCCGGCCUCAAUUUGAUUGGCUUCAGAGGGCGAGAGAACCUCAAACCCAAAAUAGAAAUCUGUCGUGAUCAGACUCCAGUGACCAAUCGCAUCAGGCCUUUUUUUAAAGAGUGUGGGGAGUCGACUGACUGCAGAAGCACUGACCAGGGUCAUCCUUGCUGUGUUAAAGUCCUCCCUGAGGGUGAAAAGGGCUGACCAGAAAUCAGCUUGCGCCGCGCUGUUUAAAGAGGUCGCCUGAUGAACGUUCUGACGAGACACAUCAUCCUACGCGCGUACACACAUUUGUUCCACCCACCACACUCCCUCCCAGAACCCACGCACCACAGACUUGAACGCUGAGCCGAGUUCAGUCGACAAGUUAAGGCCCCUUCCCUACCGAGCCCGGCCUCUUGCUUAGCUUUUGAGAGGGUGAGAAAGGAUAGCUGACAAGAGAUCAGACUUCAAGACCCUCCGAGUGUUUCUUCGAGUUCUAGAAUCCGUCGCUACUCUGUACAUGUUGUUUCUGCCACUGUCUCCAAAGUCGUUCCAGAUCUCCAAGCCAGAAAAAGAGCCCCACCCCAGGGGAAGAUUGAUUUGAAGACUAAACCUGUCCCCAUCCCCCUCCAACCAACUGGCUUUAGCCUUGCAGCUAUUUGUUUUGUCUUUGUUCCCUGCAUUGAUUAGAAUCUAGCCCUACCUUUCUGAUGCUGUAUAAUUACACUACAGGAUUAGUUUCAUAUCUAACCAUGCAUCCCUUACAUGAUGUCACAUUCCUAAAAUGGCUAUUGUGUGUCAAAACAGUUCAAAUAGCUAAUUUCAGAAGUGGGAUUUGUGAACCAGAACUUUGUUAUUUCCUAUCUACUAUAUUCAGCGUGGCAUUGCGUUAAUGAGCUGUAAGAUACUUUAAAUGUUGCUUUCCCUUUUUUAUGACACUGGCAGAUUUUGGAAUAAAUCGACACAUUAA